rnacentral:rRNA from 1 species
GACCUCGGAUCAGGUAGGGAUACCCGCUGAACUUAAGCAUAUCAAUAAGCGGAGGAAAAGAAACCAACUGGGAUUGCCUCAGUAACGGCGAGUGAAGCGGCAUCAGCUCAGAUUUGAAAUCUGGUUCUUUCAGAGCCCGAGUUGUAAUCUGUAGAGGAGUCUUCGGGUUUGGAUCUGGCCUAAGUUUCUUGGAACAGAACGUCAUAGAGGGUGAGAGUCCCGUAUGAGGCCAGCUGCCUAUUCCCAUGUGAAGCUUCUUCGACGAGUCGAGUUGUUUGGGAAUGCAGCUCAAAAUGGGUGGUAAAUUUCAUCUAAAGCUAAAUAUUGGCGGGAGACCGAUAGCGCACAAGUAGAGUGAUCGAAAGAUGAAAAGCACUUUGAAAAGAGAGUUAAAAAGUACGUGAAAUUGUUGAAAGGGAAACGCUUGCGAUUAG